UACGGAGGGGGCUAGCGUUGUUCGGAAUUACUGGGCGUAAAGCGCGCGUAGGCGGCUUUGUAAGUUAGAGGUGAAAGCCCGGAGCUUAACUCCGGAACUGCCUUUAAGACUGCAUCGCUAGAAUCGUGGAGAGGUGAGUGGAAUUCCGAGUGUAGAGGUGAAAUUCGUAGAUAUUCGGAGGAACACCGGUGGUGUAAACGGCUCUCUGGACCGUAACUGACGCUGAGGCACGAAAGCGUGGGUAGCAAACAGG
rnacentral:rRNA from 1 species